UGCCAGCAGCCGCGGUAAUAAGGAGGGGGUUAGCGUUGUUCGGAAUUACUGGGCGUAAAGCGCACGUAGGCGGACUGGAAAGUAUGGGGUGAAAUCCCAGGGCUCAACCCUGGAACUGCCUCAUAAACUAUCAGUCUAGAGUUCGAGAGAGGUGAGUGGAAUUCCGAGUGUAGAGGUGAAAUUCGUAGAUAUUCGGAGGAACACCAGUGGCGAAGGCGGCCCACUGGCCCGGUACUGACGCUCAGAUGCGAAAGCGUGGGGAGCAAACAGGAUUAGAUA
rnacentral:rRNA from 1 species